AGAGUUUGAUCCUGGCUCAGGACGAACGCUGGCGGCGUGCCUAAUACAUGCAAGUAGAACGCUGAGAACUGGUGCUUGCACCGGUUCAAGGAGUUGCGAACGGGUGAGUAACGCGUAGGUAACCUACCUCAUAGCGGGGGAUAACUAUUGGAAACGAUAGCUAAUACCGCAUAAGAGAGACUAACGCAUGUUAGUAAUUUAAAAGGGGCAAUUGCUCCACUAUGAGAUGGACCUGCGUUGUAUUAGCUAGUUGGUGAGGUAAAGGCUCACCAAGGCGACGAUACAUAGCCGACCUGAGAGGGUGAUCGGCCACACUGGGACUGAGACACGGCCCAGACUCCUACGGGAGGCAGCAGUAGGGAAUCUUCGGCAAUGGGGGCAACCCUGACCGAGCAACGCCGCGUGAGUGAAGAAGGUUUUCGGAUCGUAAAGCUCUGUUGUUAGAGAAGAAUGAUGGUGGGAGUGGAAAAUCCACCAAGUGACGGUAACUAACCAGAAAGGGACGGCUAACUACGUGCCAGCAGCCGCGGUAAUACGUAGGUCCCGAGCGUUGUCCGGAUUUAUUGGGCGUAAAGCGAGCGCAGGCGGUUUUUAAGUCUGAAGUUAAAGGCAUUGGCUCAACCAAUGUACGCUUUGGAAACUGGAGAACUUGAGUGCAGAAGGGGAGAGUGGAAUUCCAUGUGUAGCGGUGAAAUGCGUAGAUAUAUGGAGGAACACCGGUGGCGAAAGCGGCUCUCUGGUCUGUAACUGACGCUGAGGCUCGAAAGCGUGGGGAGCAAACAGGAUUAGAUAC
rnacentral:rRNA from 1 species